GGGGAGCAAACAGGAUUAGAUACCCUGGUAGUCCACGCUGUAAACGAUGUCGAUUUAGAGGUUGUGGUCUUGAACCGUGGCUUCUGGAGCUAACGCGUUAAAUCGACCGCCUGGGGAGUACGGCCGCAAGGUUAAAACUCAAAUGAAUUGACGGGGGCCCGCACAAGCGGUGGAGCAUGUGGUUUAAUUCGAUGCAACGCGAAGAACCUUACCUACUCUUGACAUCCAGCGAAUCCUUUAGAGAUAGAGGAGUGCCUUCGGGAACGCUGAGACAGGUGCUGCAU
rnacentral:rRNA from 1 species